CACGCAGGCGGUUUUUAAGUCAGAUGUGAAAGGUACCGGCUCAACCGGUGACAUGCAUUUGAAACUGAAAGACUUGAGUAUUGGAGAGGCAAGUGGAAUUCCUAGUGUAGCGGUGAAAUGCGUAGAGAUUAGGAGGAACACCAGUGGCGAAGGCGGCUUGCUGGACAAAUACUGACGCUGAGGUGCGAAAGCGUGGGGAGCAAACAG
rnacentral:rRNA from 1 species